rnacentral:rRNA from 3 species
UACGGAGUUACAAAGGACGACAUUAGACGAAUCAUCUGGAAAGAUGAAUCAAAGAAGGUAAUAAUCCUGUAGUCGAAAAUGUUGUCUCUCUUGAGUGGAUCCUGAGUACGACGGAGCACGUGAAAUUCCGUCGGAAUCUGGGAGGACCAUCUCCUAAGGCUAAAUACUCUCUAGUGACCGAUAGUGAACCAGUACCGUGAGGGAAAGGUGAAAAGCACCCCGGAAGGAGAGUGAAAUAGAACCUGAAACCGUGUGCUUACAAGUAGUCAGAGCCCGUUAAUGGGUGAUGGCGUGCCUUUUGUAGAAUGAACCGGCGAGUUACGAUUUGAUGCAAGGUUAAGCAGUAAAUGUGGAGCCGUAGCGAAAGCGAGUCUGAAUAGGGCGUUUAGUAUUUGGUCGUAGACCCGAAACCAGGUGAUCUACCCUUGGUCAGGUUGAAGUUCAGGUAACACUGAAUGGAGGACCGAACCGACUUACGUUGAAAAGUGAGCGGAUGAACUGAGGGUAGCGGAGAAAUUCCAAUCGAACCUGGAGAUAGCUGGUUCUCUCCGAAAUAGCUUUAGGGCUAGCCUCAAGUGAUGAUUAUUGGAGGUAGAGCACUGUUUGGACGAGGGGCCCCUCUCGGGUUACCGAAUUCAGACAAACUCCGAAUGCCAAUUAAUUUAACUUGGGAGUCAGAACAUGGGUGAUAAGGUCCGUGUUCGAAAGGGAAACAGCCCAGACCACCAGCUAAGGUCCCAAAAUAUAUGUUAAGUGGAAAAGGAUGUGGCGUUGCCCAGACAACUAGGAUGUUGGCUUAGAAGCAGCCAUCAUUUAAAGAGUGCGUAAUAGCUCACUAGUCGAGUGACACUGCGCCGAAAAUGUACCGGGGCUAAACAUAUUACCGAAGCUGUGGAUUGUCCUUUGGACAAUGGUAGGAGAGCGUUCUAAGGGCGUUGAAGCAUGAUCGUAAGGACAUGUGGAGCGCUUAGAAGUGAGAAUGCCGGUGUGAGUAGCGAAAGACGGGUGAGAAUCCCGUCCACCGAUUGACUAAGGUUUCCAGAGGAAGGCUCGUCCGCUCUGGGUUAGUCGGGUCCUAAGCUGAGGCCGACAGGCGUAGGCGAUGGAUAACAGGUUGAUAUUCCUGUACCACCUAUAAUCGUUUUAAUCGAUGGGGGGACGCAGUAGGAUAGGCGAAGCGUGCGAUUGGAUUGCACGUCUAAGCAGUAAGGCUGAGUAUUAGGCAAAUCCGGUACUCGUUAAGGCUGAGCUGUGAUGGGGAGAAGACAUUGAGUCUUCGAGUCGUUGAUUUCACACUGCCGAGAAAAGCCUCUAGAUAGAAAAUAGGUGCCCGUACCGCAAACCGACACAGGUAGUCAAGAUGAGAAUUCUAAGGUGAGCGAGCGAACUCUCGUUAAGGAACUCGGCAAAAUGACCCCGUAACUUCGGGAGAAGGGGUGCUCUUUAGGGUUAACGCCCAGAAGAGCCGCAGUGAAUAGGCCCAAGCGACUGUUUAUCAAAAACACAGGUCUCUGCUAAACCGUAAGGUGAUGUAUAGGGGCUGACGCCUGCCCGGUGCUGGAAGGUUAAGAGGAGUGGUUAGCUUCUGCGAAGCUACGAAUCGAAGCCCCAGUAAACGGCGGCCGUAACUAUAACGGUCCUAAGGUAGCGAAAUUCCUUGUCGGGUAAGUUCCGACCCGCACGAAAGGCGUAACGAUUUGGGCACUGUCUCAACGAGAGACUCGGUGAAAUCAUAGUACCUGUGAAGAUGCAGGUUACCCGCGACAGGACGGAAAGACCCCGUGGAGCUUUACUGUAGCCUGAUAUUGAAAUUCGGCACAGCUUGUACAGGAUAGGUAGGAGCCUUUGAAACGUGAGCGCUAGCUUACGUGGAGGCGCUGGUGGGAUACUACCCUAGCUGUGUUGGCUUUCUAACCCGCACCACUUAUCGUGGUGGGAGACAGUGUCAGGCGGGCAGUUUGACUGGGGCGGUCGCCUCCUAAAAGGUAACGGAGGCGCUCAAAGGUUCCCUCAGAAUGGUUGGAAAUCAUUCAUAGAGUGUAAAGGCAUAAGGGAGCUUGACUGCGAGACCUACAAGUCGAGCAGGGUCGAAAGACGGACUUAGUGAUCCGGUGGUUCCGCAUGGAAGGGCCAUCGCUCAACGGAUAAAAGCUACCCCGGGGAUAACAGGCUUAUCUCCCCCAAGAGUUCACAUCGACGGGGAGGUUUGGCACCUCGAUGUCGGCUCAUCGCAUCCUGGGGCUGUAGUCGGUCCCAAGGGUUGGGCUGUUCGCCCAUUAAAGCGGUACGCGAGCUGGGUUCAGAACGUCGUGAGACAGUUCGGUCCCUAUCCGUCGUGGGCGUAGGAAAUUUGAGAGGAGCUGUCCUUAGUACGAGAGGACCGGGAUGGACAUACCUCUGGUGUACCAGUUGUCGUGCCAACGGCAUAGCUGGGUAGCUAUGUGUGGACGGGAUAAGUGCUGAAAGCAUCUAAGCAUGAAGCCCCCCUCAAGAUGAGAUUUCCCAACUUCGGUUAUAAGAUCCCUCAAAGAUGAUGAGGUUAAUAGGUUCGAGGUGGAAGCAUGGUGACAUGUGGAGCUGACGAAUACUAAUCGAUCGAAGACUUAAUCAA